GACGAACGCUGGCGGCGUGCUUAACACAUGCAAGUCGAACGGAAAGGCCCUGCUUUUGUGGGGUGCUCGAGUGACGAACGGGUGAGUAACACGUGAGUAACCUGCCCUUGACUUUGGGAUAACUUCAGGAAACUGGGGCUAAUACCGGAUAGGAGCUCCUGCUGCAUGGUGGGGGUUGGAAAGUUUCGGCGGUUGGGGAUGGACUCGCGGCUUAUCAGCUUGUUGGUGGGGUAGUGGCUUACCAAGGCUUUGACGGGUAGCAGGCCUGAGAGGGUGACCGGCCACAUUGGGACUGAGAUACGGCCCAGACUCCUACGGGAGGCAGCAGUGGGGAAUAUUGCACAAUGGGCGGAAGCCUGAUGCAGCAACGCCGCGUGCGGGAUGACGGCCUUCGGGUUGUAAACCGCUUUCGCCUGUGACGAAGCGUGAGUGACGGUAAUGGGUAAAGAAGCACCGGCUAACUACGUG
rnacentral:rRNA from 1 species